AUUAUAUGUGGUUUAGCGCAAAAUAGACGCAUUGUUUUGCCUCACAUCGGGUCAAUGUUUCUGUCUCAUUCUGCUUUUUCUCUUCGUCUCCCCUAUAUCCAAGUUUCUAGAGCACUAGAUUUCUUUCAAACUUCAUACAUUUUGUGGCUAAUUUGCCUCAGGUCUAAUCUAUCUAUUGUGGAUAAAGUUUUAAGCGUUGAAGAAAGGUGAAUCCAAGGUGUUCGAUGAUAUGCCUAAAUAACCUAACUAUUUGGCAAGAAUUUUCAUUGUUUCUUUUUUGCUAUGAGCCAGGAAAUUAGGGUUGCAUUGAUGUACUUAGAUAUUAGUCUUCACCUCUUCAAAUCUUUGUUAAGGUUUACAUAGUUUUUACGUUUUGGUAUGAUAAAAAUAUUUAGCCCAGAUGCAAAAUCUGUUGUUGAAAAUGUUUCUUGUGUGAAUUAUAAUCAUAAUGCCUAGGUAAUCAAUGUGUGUGCUUAUAGCUAUUAUAAAUCAACUAGAACUGAUUCUUCUUUAUUUAGACACUUAUCACAUUUUCCUUUCUUGGUGUAUAGUAACUUUUUCCCCAAAUAAAUAAUCAAAAUUUUAAGGGAACAGGGAAGUGAAACUAUUGAUACUCAAAGGUUCUUUGUCUCAUUUUUUUCAUCUUCCGUAAGUUAUUCAUAUGUAAUUGUAGCAGGUAAAUAUAUCUUCUUUGUUCCUGUCUGUAGCCUUCGCUUGAAA